UACAGAGGGUGCAAGCGUUGUUCGGAAUUAUUGGGCGUAAAGAGCGUGUAGGCGGCCAGGUAGGUCUGCUGUGAAAACUCGAGGCUCAACCUCGAGACGUCGGCGGAAACCAUCUGGCUAGAGUCCGGAAGAGGAGAGUGGAAUUCCUGGUGUAGCGGUGAAAUGCGUAGAUAUCAGGAGGAACACCGGUGGCGAAGGCGGCUCUCUGGACCACAACUGACGCUGAGGCGCGAAAGCUAGGGGAGCAAACAGG
rnacentral:rRNA from 1 species